GACGAACGCUGGCGGCGUGCUUAACACAUGCAAGUCGAACGGUGACCCAGGGCUUGCCCUGGUGAUCAGUGGCGAACGGGUGAGUAACACGUGGGCAACCUGCCCCUGACUUCGGGAUAACUCCUCGAAAGAGGAGCUAAUACCGGAUACGAUCACUUCGGACAUCCGAUGGUGGUGGAAAGUUUUCGGUCAGGGAUGGGCCCGCGGCCUAUCAGCUAGUUGGUGGGGUAAUGGCCUACCAAGGCGACGACGGGUAGCCGGCCUGAGAGGGCGACCGGCCACACUGGGACUGAGACACGGCCCAGACUCCUACGGGAGGCAGCAGUGGGGAAUAUUGCGCAAUGGGCGAAAGCCUGACGCAGCGACGCCGCGUGAGGGAUGAAGGCCUCGGUUGUAACCGUCUUUCUAGCAGGGACGAAGCGAAAGUGACGGUACCGUGCAGAAGAAGACACCGGCUAACUACGUGCCAGCAGCCGCGGUAAU
rnacentral:rRNA from 1 species